AGAGUUUGAUCCUGGCUCAGAUUGAACGCUGGCGGCAUGCCUUACACAUGCAAGUCGAACGGCAGCACGGGAGCAAUCCUGGUGGCGAGUGGCGAACGGGUGAGUAAUAUAUCGGAACGUGCCCAGUAAUGGGGGAUAGCCCGGCGAAAGCCGGAUUAAUACCGCAUACGACCUAAGGGUGAAAGCGGGGGAUCGUAAGACCUCGCGUUAUUGGAGCGGCCGAUAUCAGAUUAGCUUGUUGGCGGGGUAAAAGCCCACCAAGGCGACGAUCUGUAGCUGGUCUGAGAGGACGACCAGCCACACUGGGACUGAGACACGGCCCAGACUCCUACGGGAGGCAGCAGUGGGGAAUUUUGGACAAUGGGCGCAAGCCUGAUCCAGCCAUGCCGCGUGUGGGAAGAAGGCCUUCGGGUUGUAAACCACUUUUGUCAGGGAAGAAACGGUUCUUACUAAUAUUAGGAGCUAAUGACGGUACCUGAAGAA
rnacentral:rRNA from 1 species